GACGAACGCUGGCGGCGUGGAUUAGGCAUGCAAGUCGAGCGAGAACCGUAGCAAUACGGGGACAGCGGCGAAAGGGACAGUAAUGUGUAGGUACCUACCCCGAGGUCUGGGAUAGCUGCGGGAAACUGCAGGUAAUACCGGAUAAUGUCUUCGGACCAAAGGUGUGAUUCCACCUUGGGAGGGGCCUGCAUCCUAUUAGCUUGUUGGCGGGGUAAUGGCCCACCAAGGCAACGAUGGGUAGCGGGUGUGAGAGCACGACCCGCGUCAUUGGGACUGAGAUACUGCCCAGACACCUACGGGUGGCUGCAGUCGAGGAUCUUCGGCAAUGGGCGCAAGCCUGACCGAGCGACGCCGCGUGCGGGAUGAAGGCCUUCGGGUUGUAAACCGCUGUCGUAGAGGAGGAAAUGCAGGGGGGUUCUCCCCUCUGUUUGACCUAUUCUAGGAGGAAGGACGGGCUAAGUUCGUGCCAGCAGCCGCCGUAA
rnacentral:rRNA from 1 species